UACGGAGGGAGCUAGCGUUGUUCGGAAUUACUGGGCGUAAAGCGCACGUAGGCGGCUUUGUAAGUCAGAGGUGAAAGCCUGGAGCUCAACUCCAGAACUGCCUUUGAGACUGCAUCGCUUUGAAUCCGGGAGAGGUGAGUGGAAUUCCGAGUGUAGAGGUGAAAUUCGUAGAUAUUCGGAAGAACACCAGUGGCGAAGGCGGCUCACUGGACCGGUAUUGACGCUGAGGUGGCGAAAAGCGGUGGGGAGCAAACAGG
rnacentral:rRNA from 1 species